rnacentral:rRNA from 1 species
GUCAGCCUGGGUCAGCAGCAGCCGCGGUAAUACGUAGGGUGCAAGCGUUAAUCGGAAUUACUGGGCGUAAAGCGUGCGCAGGCGGUUAUGCAAGACAGAGGUGAAAUCCCCGGGCUCAACCUGGGAACUGCCUUUGUGACUGCAUAGCUAGAGUACGGUAGAGGGGGAUGGAAUUCCGCGUGUAGCAGUGAAAUGCGUAGAUAUGCGGAGGAACACCGAUGGCGAAGGCAAUCCCCUGGACCUGUACUGACGCUCAUGCACGAAAGCGUGGGGAGCAAACA